rnacentral:ncRNA from 1 species
GGAGUAAAGCUUGCUGUGAGAAGUCAGCAGAGGCCAUAGUACCGUUUUUUUCGGGAAGGGC